CCGUACACAAAAAUGCACAUGCUGUGAGCUCGAUGAGUAGGGCGGGACACGUGGUAUCCUGUCUGAAUAUGGGGGGACCAUCCUCCAAGGCUAAAUACUCCUGACUGACCGAUAGUGAACCAGUACCGUGAGGGAAAGGCGAAAAGAACCCCGGCGAGGGGAGUGAAAAAGAACCUGAAACCGUGUACGUACAAGCAGUGGGAGCACAGAGCAAUCUGUGUGACUGCGUACCUUUUGUAUAAUGGGUCAGCGACUUAUAUUCUGUAGCAAGGUUAACCGAAUAGGGGAGCCGAAGGGAAACCGAGUCUUAACUGGGCGUUAAGUUGCAGGGUAUAGACCCGAAACCCGGUGAUCUAGCCAUGGGCAGGUUGAAGGUUGGGUAACACUAACUGGAGGACCGAACCGACUAAUGUUGAAAAAUUAGCGGAUGACUUGUGGCUGGGGGUGAAAGGCCAAUCAAACCGGGAGAUAGCUGGUUCUCCCCGAAAGCUAUUUAGGUAGCGCCUCGUGAAUUCAUCUCCGGGGGUAGAGCACUGUUUCGGCAAGGGGGUCAUCCCGACUUACCAACCCGAUGCAAACUGCGAAUACCGGAGAAUGUUAUCACGGGAGACACACGGCGGGUGCUAACGUCCGUCGUGAAGAGGGAAACAACCCAGACCGCCAGCUAAGGUCCCAAAGUCAUGGUUAAGUGGGAAACGAUGUGGGAAGGCCCAGACAGCCAGGAUGUUGGCUUAGAAGCAGCCAUCAUUUAAAGAAAGCGUAAUAGCUCACUGGUCGAGUCGGCCUGCGCGGAAGAUGUAACGGGGCUAAACCAUGCACCGAAGCUGCGGCAGCGACGCUGAUGCGUUGUUGGGUAGGGGAGCGUUCUGUAAGCCUGUGAAGGUGUGCUGUGAGGCAUGCUGGAGGUAUCAGAAGUGCGAAUGCUGACAUAAGUAACGAUAAAGCGGGUGAAAAGCCCGCUCGCCGGAAGACCAAGGGUUCCUGUCCAACGUUAAUCGGGGCAGGGUGAGUCGACCCCUAAGGCGAGGCCGAAAGGCGUAGUCGAUGGGAAACAGGUUAAUAUUCCU
rnacentral:rRNA from 1 species